rnacentral:misc_RNA from 1 species
GAUGAAGAACGUAGUGAAAUGCGAUAAGUAAUGUGAAUUGCAGAAUUCAGUGAAUCAUCGAAUCUUUGAACGCACAUUGCGCCCAUUAGUAUUCUAGUGGGCAUGCCUGUUCGAGCGUCAUUUCAACCCUUAAGCCUAGCUUAGUAUUGGGAAUCGACUUUACUGUCGUUCCUCAAAUUCAACGGCGGAUUUAUAGCAAUCUCUGAACGUAGUAAUUUUUUUUCUCGUUUUUGAAAUACUAUAAACCUCAGCCGCUAAACCCCCAAUUUCUUAUGGUUGACCUCGGAUCAGGUAGGAAUACCCGCUGAACUUAAGCAUAUCAAUAAGCGGAAGA